AGGGAAACUUUGGCCCUCCAGAUGUUUCUGAACUACAACUCCCAUCGCCAUUGACCAUGCUUGCUGGGGAUGAUGGGAGUUGUAGUUCAGCAACAUUUGGAGAGCUAAAGGUUGCCCA